GAUGAACGCUGGCGGCGUGCCUAACACAUGCAAGUCGAACGGACGGGCGAGAAGCUUGCUUCUCUGUCGUUAGCGGCGCACGGGAGUGAAACAUGUGGAUAACCUACCUAUCAGACUGGUAUAACUUCGGGAAACCGGAGCUUACACCGGAUAAUAUCCUGCUGCGCAUUGUUCAAUAGUAAAAGACGGCGUUGCUGUCACUACUAGAUGCAUCCGCGCUGCAUUAGCUAGUUGGUACGGUAACGGCUUAUCAAGGCGACGAUGCGUAGCCGACGGAAGAGGGUGAUCGGCCACACGGGAACGGAGACACGGUCCAGACUACUGCGGGAGGCAGCAGUAGGGAAUCGGCCGCAGUGGUCGAAAGCCUGGCGGAGCAACGCCGCGUGUGUGAUAAAGGUCUUCGGAUCGGAAAACUCUGUUAUUGGUGAAGAACAGAUUUGGAAGUAGCCGUGGACAGCUUGACGGUACCUAGUCAGAAAGCCCCGGCUAACUACGUG
rnacentral:rRNA from 1 species